UGAAGAUGCAGUGUACCCGCGGCAAGACGGAAAGACCCCGUGAACCUUUACUAUAGCUUGACACUGAACAUUGAGCCUUGAUGUGUAGGAUAGGUGGGAGGCUUUGAAGCGUGGACGCCAGUCUGCGUGGAGCCAACCUUGAAAUACCACCCUUUAAUGUUUGAUGUUCUAACGUUGGCCCCUGACCGGGGUUGCGGACAGUGUCUGGUGGGUAGUUUGACUGGGGCGGUCUCCUCCCAAAGCGUAACGGAGGAGCACGAAGGUUAGCUAAUCCUGGUCGGACAUCAGGAGGUUAGUGCAAUGGCAUAAGCUAGCUUGACUG
rnacentral:rRNA from 1 species